rnacentral:rRNA from 1 species
AACGAACGCUGGCGGCAUGCCUAACACAUGCAAGUCGAACGAGACCUUCGGGUCUAGUGGCGCACGGGUGCGUAACGCGUGGGAACCUGCCCUUAGGUUCGGAAUAACUCCCCGAAAGGGGUGCUAAUACCGGAUAAUGUCUUCGGACCAAAGAUUUAUCGCCUUUGGAUGGGCCCGCGUUGGAUUAGCUAGUUGGUAGGGUAAAAGCCUACCAAGGCGACGAUCCAUAGCUGGUCUGAGAGGAUGAUCAGCCACACUGGGACUGAGACACGGCCCAGACUCCUACGGGAGGCAGCAGUGGGGAAUAUUGGACAGUGGGCGAAAGCCUGAUCCAGCAAUGCCGCGUGAGUGAUGAAGGCGUUAGGGUUGUAAAGCUCUUUUACCCGGGAUGAUAAUGACAGUACCGGGAGAAUAAGCUCCGGCUAACUCCGUG